UGUGACGGUGAACUUUUCUGUGGUCAUGACAACUUCCUCUUCAUCCGCGGUGAACAGCAGUCUUCCUCCAUCUCGACUCCGCACCUCCAGCUUCUGACACUGGGCCUCCACAGCCUCGGGUCCUACACAGAGAGAGAGAGAUGUUCUGGUCGGAGCUGCUGCCUUUUUAAACUUCCUCUCCUGCAUUAAUCCGCAGGCCGUGGCGGCUCGAGGGGAUGAUUAUUCUCGCCCGGGAUUCCACCUCGCUCCAGACAAAGUGCACUUUCUUCAAGAUCAGGCGCUCGCUUUGGGAGGAGGGCCAAGCGUGACCGCAAAGUGUCACAUCACCAGUCGUGUCACAUCAGCGUCAACUCUCGACCUGUCGUUUCAACACCACGAUCACUGCCCGACCCGCCUCCGACCCUGCACCACCUCAACCCCGGACGCCUGGUCACGUCCCAUCAAACCGUCCAACCAGGAGCCCUCCAUGGGACGUCCCAACUCCGUGCUCAAGCCCUCAUCACCACCACCACCAGUGUCUUGGCUCCAAGGCGAAGCCGCAUUCAUAUCUGAACCAUCUAAUUCAUGGGACAGCCUCCACGGUGUUCUACGUCCUACUAGUGUCAUUUACAAUCAAUCUAAUUUCAUUCUAAUUUACUUAUUCUUAUUCGUUUCUCAAUAAGUCUCUCCUGAUUGAAAUGAAAUGGCCAAAGAAGAGGAAAUAGCUAUUGCAGCUAUUGCUCAGGAGGUAGAGUGGAGUCGUUCACCUACCUGAAGGUCAAGGCGCAGACGUGUCCUUUGGCAAGACACUGAACCCCAGUGUGUGAUAGAGAAAGCUCUUUGUAUAGAAGCGUUUUAUGAAUGUGUCUGAGUGGGUAAAUGUGACUUGUACUGUAAAGCCUUUGAGUGGUCGAUAAGACCAGAAAAGCUCUUUAUAAAUACACCCCCAUUUACCAUUUACACUACCAACAUGUAUACUAUUCCCUUCCUGCUACUCUCCAUGUAUGUACUGUGCUGCAGACUUGAAAAGGAAUUCCACCAUCUCUCUAUCUAAAAUCUAUCCCUACCCCAUUGAGUCGUAUAUCACCUUGUUUCUUACAUCUGGACACCAGAGAAGAGAUGGGUCUGAAAUCUACCCAACGCUACGGAUGGUUUACCACCUACAGUCCUGAUUACAUGUAGUUUUCUAUUAAUAGAAGCCAAACACCUACACAGCAACUUGCUUCUCUAAGGUCCAAUAAAAAGCUGUUCUCUCUGUAGACCAUACACGGAGCUGGCAAAGUCCUUGUGGACUUGCUGCACGGCCAUAGUUAUCUUUGUAUAAACACGGCAUGCACU